GACGAACGCUGGCGGCGUGCUUAACACAUGCAAGUCGAACGGAAAGGCCCUGCUUUUGUGGGGUGCUCGAGUGGCGAACGGGUGAGUAACACGUGAGUAACCUGCCCUUGACUUUGGGAUAACUUCAGGAAACUGGGGCUAAUACCGGAUAGGAGCUCCUGCUGCAUGGUGGGGGUUGGAAAGUUUCGGCGGUUGGGGAUGGACUCGCGGCUUAUCAGCUUGUUGGUGGGGUAGUGGCUUACCAAGGCUUUGACGGGUAGCCGGCCUGAGAGGGUGACCGGCCAAAUUGGGACUGAGAUACGGCCCAGACUCCUACGGGGGGCAGCAGUGGGGAAUAUUGCACAAUGGGUGGAAGCCUGAUGCAGCAACGCCGCGUGCGGGAUGACGGCCUUCGGGUUGUAAACCGCUUUCGCCUGUGACGAAGCGUGAGUGACGGUAAUGGGUAAAGAAGCACCGGCUAACUACGUG
rnacentral:rRNA from 1 species